GUGGUAGGCUAGCCGGCAAGGGGGAAAUAAGAUUGCGGAUGAAGAUACUAAACAUCUGACAUUAAAUUAAGGAGACUUAAAUGUAACACAAGGAUCUCUGAAUAUGGAAGAGGGAGGCAAAAGAGUCAGUGUCAGGCUUAUGCAGCAUGAAAGACCUGACUGGCCAGCAAUGGCUUUGGAGAUGGAAGGGGGCCAUGAACCAAGGAAUGUGGGCCAGUUUUAGAAGGAAAAGGAAACGAAGAGCAUUCUCCCCUAAAGCCCCCCGAGGGCACAAAGCUCUGCCAACACCCUCAUUUCAGCCCAGUGAGGCUCACGUCAAACUUAUGAACUCUAGGAUAAAUUAGUGCCGUAAUGUGCUACAGCUGCAGUAGGGAACUAAUACGAAGGGCACAGGCACAGUUUCGAGAGCUGCAAGUUUAAAGAGGGAAUUACCCAGGGGGAGGGACGGUCAAGCAGUGCCCAAGCAGAGGCACAAACCCAACACGGAGCUAACAGCAGAGAGAGAAGCCCAGGACGCGGCUCCCCCACGGAGCACAGAGGCAGGCGGUAGGCUCCCUGAAGUGGCAUUACGACCCGAGCUUCAAACCUGGCACCAUGUGGGGAGACAGCAGACCCCCACUGAAAAUGGCACCUUAAUUAGCCUCAGGAAGAGUUUGUUUUAUUUUGGCCACAGCUGUAACACCCACUGAGGCCAAACUAAAGUAGUGCAGGAGCUCGCCCUCUUCACAGCUGGGGGAAGACGGAAGUUCUUGGCAGGAGUGUGGAAGCUUGGAGAAAGCGAGGCCCUUGUCCUCAUUCAGGGAGCUGCUACCUCACUUCCAGGGAGGAAUACGUCCUCUAGGAAACACCAGAAGGGUUUCACGGAAUAGGAGCUGAGACUGCCACAUAGCCACUUGAGUUCUUCAUGCCGCUGAACCAGCAAGCAAAGAAGGGCACUGACUCCUGUACUG
ensembl:lncRNA